rnacentral:rRNA from 1 species
AGUGAACGCUGGCGGUAGGCCUAACACAUGCAAGUCGAACGGCAGCACAGUAAGAGCUUGCUCUUACGGGUGGCGAGUGGCGGACGGGUGAGGAAUACAUCGGAAUCUACUUUUUCGUGGGGGAUAACGUAGGGAAACUUACGCUAAUACCGCAUACGACCUACGGGUGAAAGCAGGGGAUCUUCGGACCUUGCGCGAUUGAAUGAGCCGAUGUCGGAUUAGCUAGUUGGCGGGGUAAAGGCCCACCAAGGCGACGAUCCGUAGCUGGUCUGAGAGGAUGAUCAGCCACACUGGAACUGAGACACGGUCCAGACUCCUACGGGAGGCAGCAGUGGGGAAUAGUGGACAAUGGGCGCAAGCCUGAUCCAGCCAUACCGCGUGGGUGAAGAAGGCCUUCGGGUUGUAAAGCCCUUUUGUUGGGAAAGAAAAGCAGCAGGUUAAUACCCAGCUGUUCUGACGGUACCCAAAGAAUAAGCACCGGCUAACUUCGUG